UCGGACGUGGUGUAUGGUGCACGCCCACUUCUACUACGUUGCAAAUCAAUAGAAAGUGAGAAGCCUGGGUUCGAUUCUCAGCGUCCGGA